AAAAUAAAAAUGUCUAAUCAAGGGGCCAUUAGUAUAAAAUUACUCAAUAUAAAAUAGAACAAAAACAUUUUUACAGUUCUGUAAAUAUCAAUAAAAAUGCAUUAUCUAACUGUCCAUUAUUUUCCAUUUCUGGUGCAUAUGGGAGGAGAAACUUUUGAACGGAAUAACAGUGCUGCUGAAAGCCUGAAAACUAUCAGCACUCCAUUAGCUCCACUGGCUCUUAAGGCCAUCUCCUGUUACACCCCAGCAUCCAGGGGAUCGAUUUCUGGGCUUCAGUUUGCUCUCCAUGGGCCUCUAAUGGCAGACGAGAUGGGAGUCAGGAGUAAUACUAUACAUGCUGACAAGCUGCCUCCCGGAAGACAAAAAGAAAAGGGAGAGGUGGGAGGAGAGGGUAAGAGAUGAAAGCAGUUGCUACUGAAAACACUGAGAACAGGAAAGCAGAAAAGACUGGAGAUGUGACUGAAGAUGGAAAGAUGGGGAGAAGAGAGCAGAGAAGGAGUGGCUGAGUUAAAGACAAAGAGCAGGAGGAAGGAACUUGAGGAUGACUCCAAAAAGAAGAGCUCUUACAAGAAAAAAAAUCAGAGAAAACGGAGCCAAGAUGUGAGACAGACUUCAUUUCUUAAAAGAAAACUGGUUGCCCAGCUCUGUAAUGGUCCCCCUGUAAAUAUGACCGACCUGUCGAAGGAGUGGAACUGCAUGGGCAGCAUAGGAUGAGUCUUCAGAGCAGGGUCUGGGUGAUAGGGCGUUGGUCCGGACUCCUGACCCAGCUCUGUGCCAUCAAUGGGAGCCGCCACCAAGCUCUUUAGGAUCUCCUGCAUUUCAGAGGAAGAAACAAAGCUGGCCCAAACCGAGCCCACCGAGGCCCAACUCUGAGCCAUUUAGGGAUCCGGCUACAUGUCCUUCUUCUCCGAUGCCUGAAUCCGUGUGGGGGAGGCCGGCUAGCGGGGAGUCAUCCACCGGGGUAGGGGUCUGUUUG